AGGGGUGAGGGUAUGGGUAUGACAGUGGGAACAGAUGGACUAAGUGGAAAAGUCAGCACAAUGGGUUUUGGUAUUCCCCCUAGCAAUUUUUUCAGCUCCCAGUCUAGCUUAGACUUUUCAAGCUAGAAAAUGGAAGAAUCUUCUAGGAGGAAGCUGGUAAAUCCAACAAGGUCUAACUGACAUCAGGGCUAACAUAAAGGCUUUGCCAAGGACCCAAACAGCCCAACCAGUGAAGCCCUCCUCACAUCCAAUCAUCUUUCUGUACCUACUCUUAAAUAUGAAAAAUCUUCCUCAGAGAAGUAAAAGAUUAAGACUUCACGUUCAUGAGACAAUAGCCUCUUACACAGAAGGACCAGUCAGGUACCCCUUUUCAGGAAAGCUAUGAGAAUAAGAGCUUCUUCAAAAUGAGAGAGGGAAUAAGUAAGCAGCAGCCAAGGGAUCAAGGAAACAUGAGAUCCAACUCAAGAGAAGCAAAGAAAAUUCUUAGAAAUGGAGGAAGAUCCCAGAGGACAUUUGUGCAUUAGGACAGAAAAUGCUGGCUCUUUUCUUCAGUGAUGAAGAGAUGGAUAUGAAGAUUCCGAGUCCUCAGAAUACUCACCGGCUCAAACGGCAAGACCGUGUCAUCCCUAAUUCCGUACUUUGCUCGUAAGGCCUACAAAAAAAUUUUGCAAAUUAACACGGAUGAUCAACACUUUAUUGGCUAUUGGCAUAAUCAGUGAGACGACACACUCCAAAACUUCUUUAAUAAUAUUUGUUCUCCUAAAUAAAUAAGAAUUUUAAAUAUAAA